rnacentral:rRNA from 1 species
AUGGAUGCGGUCGAGCAAAACCGCACCUGGGAGCUCGCUGACCUCCCCCGUGGUCAUCGCGCAAUCACCCUUAAGUGGGUGUUCAAGCUGAAGAGGGAUGGAGCCGGCGCCAUCAUCAAGCACAAGGCUCGCCUGGUGGCCCGAGGCUUCUUGCAGCAGGAAGGAGUCGACUUCGACGACGCCUUCGCUCCCGUGGCACAGAUGGAGUCCGUGCGACUUCUCCUUGCGCUGGCUGCCCAGGAGGGCUGGCGUGUCCACCACAUGGACGUUAAGUCGGCAUUCCUCAACGGCGACUUGAAGGAGGAAGUCUACGUGCAUCAGCCACCUGGGUUUACGAUUCCCGGCCAGGAGGGCAAGGUGCUCCGCCUGCGCAAGGCUCUCUAUGGCCUGCGGCAGGCACCCAGGGCGUGGAAUGCCAAGCUGGACUCCACGCUGAAGAAGAUGGGUUUCGAGCAGAGCCCGCAUGAGGCUGCCGUCUACCGACGGGGGAGUGGAGGAAAUGCCCUGCUGGUGGGCGUCUACGUUGACGACCUGGUGAUCACCGGCACCAAAGGUGCAGAGGUGGCGGCGUUCAAGGAAGACAUGAAGGCCACAUUCCAGAUGAGUGACCUGGGGCUCCUCUCCUUCUAUCUAGGGAUUGAGGUGCACCAGGACCACUCUGGGAUCGCGCUUCGACAGUCCGCCUACGCCAAGCGCAUCGUUGAGCUAGCUGGGCUCACCGACUGCCAUCCAGCUCUCACUCCGAUGGAGGAGAGGCUGAAACUGAGCCGCGACAGCACGACGGAGGAAGUGGAUGCUACGCAGUACCGACGCCUUGUGGGGAGCCUUCGCUACCUCACUCACACAUGGCAGGACUUGGCAUUCUCCGUCGUCUAUGUCAGUCGGUUCAUGGAGCGACCAACGUCGGAACACCAGCAGGCAGUGAAGAGGAUCGUCCGCUACAUAGCAGGGACCCUCGACCACGGCCUCCACUACCCUAGGUGUCCUGGGGCGGCACACUUCGUCGGGUACAGCGACAGCGACCACGCCGGCGACAUCGACACCAGCAAGAGCACGAGCGGGAUCCUCCUCUUCCUCGGCAAGUGUCUCGUGAGCUGGCAAUCAGUCAAGCAGCAGGUGGUGGCCCUGUCCAGUUGUGAGGCUGAGUACAUAGCGGCCUCCACCGCCUGUACUCAGGCGCUCUGGCUUGCUCGACUGCUUGGUGAUCUUCUCGUUCAAGACGCCAGAACGGUGCAGCUCCUGGUGGACAGCAAGUCCGCCCUGGCCCUGGCAAAGAACCCCGUGUUCCACGAACGGAGCAAGCACAUCCGACUGAGGUAUCACUUCAUCCGCAGCUGUGUGGAAGAAGGGAGCAUCGAGGCGAGCUACAUCAACACCAAGGAUCAGCUCGCAGACCUACUCACCAAGCCCCUUGGGAGGGUCAAGUUCCUCGAACUUUGCUCCAGGAUUGGGAUGAUUCAACUCUCCCACAAGACGACGUACAAGACUUAG